UGGAAUUACUGGGCGUAAAGCGCAGCGCAGGCGGUUUGUUAAGUCAGAUGUGAAAUCCCCGCGCUUAACGUGGGAACUGCAUUUGAAACUGGCAAGCUAGAGUCUUGUAGAGGGGGGUAGAAUUCCAGGUGUAGCGGUGAAAUGCGUAGAGAUCUGGAGGAAUACCGGUGGCGAAGGCGGCCCCCUGGACAAAGACUGACGCUCAGGUGCGAAAGCGUGGGGAGCAAACAGGAUUAGAUACCCUGGUAGUUCCACGCUGUAAACGAUGUCGACUUGGAGGUUGUGCCCUUGAGGCGUGGCUUCCGGAGCUAACGCGUUAAGUCGACCGCCUGGGGAGU
rnacentral:rRNA from 1 species